AAAAAGCCCGCGUUAAGGAUUGAAACGGCAUCCUUUUUUAUUUUUACUUUAUAAGAGUUAUUAUUGUUUAUUAAUAAAGAGAUUGCCACAGUUUACAAAAAAGUAAACUUAGCAAUGAAAAAAUUAAAAAGAUAUAGUGGAAAGCCUGACCUGAA
rnacentral:sRNA from 1 species